ACAACAAAAAACAAACAAAAA
rnacentral:sRNA from 1 species